UCCUACCAUGACAUCUUAUUAGGCAUCUCAGAACUGCCCCCUUGUCAUGCCAUUAGGACUGAGCUUAGUCAUGGCAUUCAUGAAACAAUGUCUCAUUAAAGAUUUCAAAUGAGAUGGGAGUGUAAUUCAGCAGUAUAGCACUCAUCUGAUAGAUGUGAAGCCAUGGGCUCCAUCUUCAUUACUGCAAAAAUAAAACAAAAUAGCUUAAAUACAGAAACCUACAAAAUAUUGUGACUAUCUAGAGAAGUGAUUUGGAUGAAGAAGCUGUCAGAACACUUUCUGGUGACCAGUGUGACUUCAAAUGGCUUAAGGAAAGAGAAGGGAGGGGCAGAGAGACGCAAAGAGGCUAAGAAAGCUGAGCAGGUUGAGGACAGGUCUUCAGGAAUGGUUUGACUCAGCACUUUAGUGCCAGUUUAUCCAGGGUGCAUAUUUUUCUUUCUGCUUCUCUCCAGUCCUCCCGUCCUUGCUGAUGACUCUACCUUCAAGUGUACCCCUUUAUUGCUUGUUUCCAAGAUAACUACCUUACUACUAUACUUUCUAUCAGCUUGACUAGUUUUAGAGUCACCCAGAAGACAACAACCUUCAACAUCUGUGACAGUGUUUCCGGAGAGGUUUAACGGAGAAGAGAAAACCAACUUCAACUUGUGGGUGGCGUCAUCUCUUGAGCUGAGGCCCCAGGCUGAAUUAGAUAGGGGAAGGAAGAAAGCAAGUGAAGCCCCAGCGCCUAGCACUCUCCACUUCCUGCCACUUCCUGCCACUUCGUGCCUUUAUUCCUUCUAUACCAUGGUAACCCACAGAGGUGUCUCCUAGAUGGAUUCUAGAACUAGCUAAGCUGAUCAUGAAGAUUAGCAGUCACAUUCAUGAGAAGACUUUACAAUACACUCUGAUGCCUCUCGAGUGGAAACCCAAGAGUCCUUUCUCUCCCCAGUGACUCCCUCACUCUGUGUCUACUCCACAGCUCCACCUUGACCUUCCUGGAGCAGAGUCCUUACUUUCAGAGGUAAUUAUGGCUACAGUGACAUAAUGGCUUCGAUUUGUCCCCAUAAAAUCCUGCGAGUUUGGAGAGUCAGGAAAUGGGUGUGCACCUCCAUGCAGAGCAAACAAGACUGGCUUUGAACUGGUGACUGCUGAAGGUGAGCUGUGGGUCUGGAUCGCGUGACACUAAAUCUCCUCUGCCUCUGAGUACGUUUCAGUUUUUCCAAACCAUUUUCCGAAAUGCUUGGCACAGAAGACUCACACCGUAGAGUUGUUCCAGAACCUUCCAAAGCCCCCAGUCUCCUCUAACCCCCACUGAGGAGCUGUCCUCAGGAUCCACAGGGGCUGGGCUCUCAGACUCGGGCCAGUGGAGUGCCGCACACUUUCAGCCCCCACACUUGGCAUUUGGACAGAAUCUCUUCCUGCCCCCAGAUGGCAUCCCAGCUUCCUUGGGCUGAGCCUGUCAGCAGGUUUUUCCAGGCGCCUGAUUCCUGGAUGUAGCUGCAAUAAAACCAACCAGGAUGGUCUGUCGGGUCCCCUCUGGAAUGGGCAUGUCCCAUUUCUGAUGUCUUCAGCCUUCCCAGUGAGCUAUCUCCAAGGUUUCUGGA